GUGUAGCUACUAGCUGAUCGAGCCAAUCGAGCUAGUUGCCCUCCUCCUUGCUGCUCCAUGGCGUGCACUUGGGCCCAGGAUAGCCGAGGAAUCGGUCGAGGCAGCGGUAGCGGCGCGGGUCCUUCUCCACCUCCGAGCAAUCCUUGCAGUGGCUGGAGCACUUGUCCACCUUGUCGGCGCACCAGCAGGUGGGGACGUACGCCCUGGUGCAGACGGCGAAGUCGCAGCAAUCCCACGGCCUCGGCGUGCACACCGGCGGCUGGACGAUGCUCGUGACCCAGUCGCGGCAGACGUAGCCGUCGCCGGCGAGCGCCUCCUCGCACUUCUUGCAGUUGGC
rnacentral:lncRNA from 1 species